rnacentral:rRNA from 1 species
GGAGCAAGACCGCGUGGGGGAGGAAAGCCUUUGGGUUGUAAACCCCUUUUCUCAGGGAAGAAGAAAGUGACGGUACCUGAGGAAUCAGCCUCGGCUAACUCCGUGCCAGCAGCCGCGGUAAUACGGAGGAGGCAAGCGUUAUCCGGAAUGAUUGGGCGUAAAGCGUUCGUAGGUGGCAAUUCAAGUCUGCUGUCAAAGACAGUAGCUCAACUACUGCAAGGCAGUGGAAACUGAAUAGCUAGAGUGCGGUAGGGGCAGAGGGAAUUCCCGGUGUAGCGGUGAAAUGCGUAGAGAUCGGGAAGAACACCGGUGGCGAAAGCGCUCUGCUGGGCCGCAACUGACACUGAGGGACGAAAGCUAGGGGAGCGAAUGGGAUUAGAUACCCCAGUAGUC